AAAAGAGAAUUUAUAAGUAUAAAUAUUUUUUUUUUAAGCGAAAAACACCAUUUCACCUAGUUGACCCCUCU
rnacentral:tRNA from 1 species